CACGCCGUAAACGAUGAGCGCUAGGUGUUGGGGGUAUUGACCCCCCCAGUACCGCAGCUAACGCGUUAAGCGCUCCGCCUGGGGAGUACGGCCGCAAGGCUAAAACUCAAAGGAAUUGACGGGGGCCCGCACAAGCGGUGGAGUAUGUGGUUUAAUUCGACGCAACGCGCAAAACCUUACCUGGGUUAAAUCCACUUGAACCCGCCAGAGAUGGUGGGGUGCCUUCGGGAGCAAGUGAGAAGGUGC
rnacentral:rRNA from 2 species